CUCUCUCUGCUGCUCUGCAUUAUUAAUAUGUUCAUGUUGUUCUCCACCACCCCAUGCCCAUUUCCAAAUUGCCUUCUUUCUCUCCUUUUUUCCCUCUUUUAUUUGUUUUUGCUAACCCAAAUAAACCUUGUUGGGGUUUACUUUGAUAGUUUUGUUUGUGAUAUAUAAUCUAGACUGAUAUGGUUUGGAAGUGACCAUUUGCUCUGUUCCUUCCAAACCAUGUAUUUUAUUUCAUUUCUGCUUGCAGUCUUUUCUUUUUCUCUCUGUAUUUUGUUUUGUUAUGAUAAAAACGAAAAGGGUUUGUUUUGUAGCUUAUUUUGUGAAAAGAUAUUUGCUUUUUGUUCUUUUUUUGCUAUCCAAUUGAACCUUGUUGCUACACUUUGUUAGAUUUAUGGCAUAUAAUCUAAGCUUGAUAUGGUUUGGAAGUGAUCGUUUCUUCUGUUUCCUUCCAAAACCAUAGACUUCAUUUCACUUCUGCUUACAAUAUUUUCUCUUUUCUGUCUGUCUUUUGCUUUGUUUUUGUAAAGAUGAAAAGGGUUUGUUUGUUUUGUAGCAUAGUUUCUGAAAAGAUACAAGGAAGCCAAAGAGGUAAGAGAUGGAUCGGUUUAACGGGAUAUUGGUCCGGUUCAAUAAGAAAGCAGUGCUCUAAGUGCUUGAGCUCUGCUUUUUGAUUGAGCCGUGCCAAUAUCACGUGCCACUGUUCCUUUAUUAUUCUACCUUGCUGCCCCCAUCAUCCAGGAUUUCAAGGAGUUACAAGCUCAAAACAAGAGCGGUGGAGCCAGACUGUCAGAUGAGUCACAAGAAAACUGGGAAGGAGAUGAAUUCAAAACAAUAUGUUCAUCAUAUCAUAUAAUUCAAAUUCUUAAUUUCAUACAGAGGAAACAAGAUUGUACAAGAAUGCCAGAAACAGCUCCCACAAAGAUAUGCAUUUAUUGUGUGCAUUUGAUGCCAUAGAACUGUAACUUACAAGUUGACUCUUCAAGCCUCAAAGAAUUUUGUAUGGGGGGCCCUAUUUUGGCUGCUUCAGUGGCCAAUAUCCUCUAUUAAAAUGGAAGAUGGUCCACA